rnacentral:lncRNA from 1 species
GCCGUAACAGCUCCUGUCCUUGUCCCCUUGAGGGAUUUGCUUAGGACACCUGAGAUGGAUUUCCCAGCCUCAUUCUCCCUCUCCUGGACUAACACCGUGGGGUCCCUGGGUCACCUGCCUCGCUGCCCUCCUGGGCCCCGGGACUCAGAUGAGCACUUACCCUUCCACCCCAGUGCCCUCUACUGACUAGGACACGGUCCUGGCUUGGCCUUGGAGGCAGAAGACGAGGGAUGCAGUGACACCCCAUUGGCAAGCUGUCCCCCUAUGACCGCAGGGCCUGCCCCCUCUCUUCUCCUGGCUGCUUGAGGAUCGAGUGGGUGCUGGGGCUCCCACGCAUGUCUUGAGCACCUGAGAUGUGCACACAUCUGAUGCGCUCCGAUCAGGAGGUGCUCUGGAAGAGCUUUGCUGUCUCCCACGUUCCUUCCAGCAGCCUCCUAGGUAGACAUCGUGUCCACGGUGCAGGUUGGGGAGCUGACUUUCACAGCGCCCCUCUGCUUCUCCCGAGAUCCCAGGAGUCGAUAAAAACUGGGAUCAGGAACGAAGCCUGGCUCUGUCCUUGGAGCCUGAGCCCCAGCGUGCCUGGUCCCUGCAGGGCAGAAGGGGGUGGAUGUUGCCAUGGAAACGACUGGGGGAAUCACAGCACAAGGGCGCAGGAAGGUGAGCCGGGUGGCAGCCCUGCCUGCCGGCCCUCACUUGUGUGUGAGCUGGAAACCACCCAGGCACACCUAGGCAGGUGCUGCCCCUCCCCCAGGUGGAGGAAGCAGGAAAAGGUGGCAGCCAGAGGCAGCGGGCGAGGCUGCUGGGCAGUGGUGACCAGGGCCUCGGCGAGGAUGGGCUUGAUCUGCACCCUGGCUCUGCCUCUUCUUCUCCUCUGCUGGGAGGCUGGAGACUCCCGGGGAUUUACAGGUGCAGAUGGAGACUUCCUCCUCCUGAGGCUGAAGGUGGCCUCGCUGGAAGACCUCACAGAGCCUACAAGGGCGGAGAGGCUGGUGCAGCAGGGUCUCUCUGCUGAAGUUCCUGACCCCAUCCCAUCUUCCCUGAGGAAGUGA